UCCCUGGUGGUCCAGUGGUUAAGACUCUGUGCUUCCAAUACAGUGGGCGCCAGUUUGAUUCCGGGUCAGGGAA
rnacentral:tRNA from 1 species